rnacentral:lncRNA from 1 species
AUGAACAUUCGGCGUAUGAGUGAUGAUUGGAUAGCUAGUGUUUGUAGGCUCUGAUCUCGCGCACCCAACUAUAGACCAACUAUCCUCCUCAGUUUCUUCACUAGCAUAGUUUUAUGCUUGUUGAACUGAUCUGGGGCCUGUGUUGCGUACCUAUCUGGAAGGAAUUGUUAAGCUUUGCUUAAAAUGUUGUUUGCGUCAUCUCUUUUAGUGGGGAAGUCGUGAACACAUAAGCCGGCC